CAUGACCAAAAUGGUCAGUUGACCCCUUUAGGAGUUAUUGACCUUUAUAGUCAAUUUUUAACCAUUUUUCGUAAAUCUUAGAAAUCUUUUACAAAAAUCUUCUCCUCUGAAACUACUGGGCCAAAUUAAUUCAAACUUGGCCACAAUCAUCUUUAGGGUAUCUAAUUGAAAAAAAUGUGUCCGGUGACCCGGCCAUUCAACCAAAAUGGCUGCCACGGCUAAAAAUAGAACAUAGGGGUAAAAUGCAGUUUUUGGCUUAUAACUCAAAAACCGAAGCAUUUAGAGAAAAUCUGACAGGGUUAAAUUGUCUAUCAGGUCAAGAUCUAUCUGCCCUGAUAUUUUCACAUGGAUCGGACAACCCGUUGUUAGGUUACUGCCCUGAGUUGGUAAUUUUAAGGAAAUUUUGCUGUUAUUUGUUAUUAUCUUGAAUUUUAUUAUAGAUAGAGAUAAACUGUAAACAGCAAUAAUGUUCAGCAAAACAAGAUCUACAAAUAAGUUUUCAUGACCAAAAUAGUCAAUUGACCCCUUAAGGAGUUAUUGCCCUUUAUAGUUAAUUUU
rnacentral:lncRNA from 1 species